UGAGACACGGCCAGAUCCUACGGAGGCAGCAGUGGGGAAUUUGCACAAUGGGCGGAAGCCUGAUGCAGCAACGCCGCGUGAGGGAUGACGGCCUUCGGGUUGUAAACCUCUUUUAGCAGGGAAGAAGCGAAAGUGACGGUACCUGCAGAAAAAGCGCCGGCUAACUACGUGCCAGCAGCCGCGGUAAUACGUAGGGCGCAAGCGUUAUCCGGAAUUAUUGGGCGUAAAGAGCUCGUAGGCGGUUUGUCGCGUCUGCUGUGAAAUCCCGAGGCUCAACCUCGGGCCUGCAGUGGGUACGGGCAGACUAGAGUGCGGUAGGGGAGAUUGGAAUUCCUGGUGUAGCGGUGGAAUGCGCAGAUAUCAGGAGGAACACCGAUGGCGAAGGCAGAUCUCUGGGCCGUAACUGACGCUGAGGAGCGAAAGGGUGGGGAGCAAACAGGCUUAGAUACCCUGGUAGUCCACCCCGUAAACGUUGGGAACUAGUUGUGGGGACCAUUCCACGGUUUCCGUGACGCAGCUAACGCAUUAAGUUCCCCGCCUGGGGAGUACGGCCGCAAGGCUAAAACUCAAAGGAAUUGACGGGGACCCGCACAAGCGGCGGAGCAUGCGGAUUAAUUCGAUGCAACGCGAAGAACCUU
rnacentral:rRNA from 1 species